rnacentral:rRNA from 1 species
AAUGGGGAUGGAGGCACUCUGACCCAGCCAUGCCGCGUGCAGGAAGACGGUCCUCUGGAUUGUAAACUGCUUUUGAAUGGGAAGAACACUAGACUUGCGAGUUUAAUUGACGGUACCAUUAGAAUAAGCCACGGCUAACUACGUGCCAGCAGCCGCGGUAAUACAGGGA